CGGGUGAGUAACACGUGGAUAACCUACCUAUAAGACUGGGAUAACUUCGGGAAACCGGAGCUAAUACCGGAUAAUAUAUUGAACCGCAUGGUUCNAAUGGUGAAAGACGGUUUUGCUGUCACUUAUAGAUGGAUCCGCGCCGCAUUAGCUAGUUGAUAAGGUAACGGCUUACCAAGGCAACGAUGCGUAGCCGACCUGAGAGGGUGAUCGGCCACACUGGAACUGAGACACGGUCCAGACUCCUACGGGAGGCAGCAGGU
rnacentral:rRNA from 1 species